rnacentral:rRNA from 1 species
UGCGAACUCCUACGGGAGGCAGCAGUGGGGAAUAUUGCGCAAUGGGGGCAACCCUGACGCAGCCAUGCCGCGUGAAUGAAGAAGGCCUUCGGGUUGUAAAGUUCUUUCGGUGACGAGGAAGGCGUGAUGUUUAAUAGGCAUCACGAUUGACGUUAAUCACAGAAGAAGCACCGGCUAACUCCGUGCCAGCAGCCGCGGUAAUACGGAGGGUGCGAGCGUUAAUCGGAAUAACUGGGCGUAAAGGGCACGCAGGCGGUGACUUAAGUGAGGUGUGAAAGCCCCGGGCUUAACCUGGGAAUUGCAUUUCAUACUGGGUCGCUAGAGUACUUUAGGGAGGGGUAGAAUUCCACGUGUAGCGGUGAAAUGCGUAGAGAUGUGGAGGAAUACCGAAGGCGAAGGCAGCCCCUUGGGAAUGUACUGACGCUCAUGUGCGAAAGCGUGGGGAGCAAACAGGAUUAGAUACCCCGGUAGUCCAGAAGUG